UACGUAGGGUGCGAGCGUUGUCCGGAAUUAUUGGGCGUAAAGAGCUUGUAGGCGGUUUGUCGCGUCUGCCGUGAAAAUCCGGGGCUCAACCCCGGACUUGCGGUGGGUACGGGCAGACUAGAGUGUGGUAGGGGAGACUGGAAUUCCAGGUGUAGCGGUGAAAUGCGUAGAUAUCUGGAGGAAUACCGGUGGCGAAGGCGGCAUCCUGGACCGGCAUUGACGCUGAGGAGCGAAAGCUAGGGGAGCAAACGGG
rnacentral:rRNA from 1 species